rnacentral:rRNA from 1 species
GGUUGACCUCGGAUCAGGUAGGAAUACCCGCUGAACUUAAGCAUAUCAAUAAGCGGAGGAAAAGAAACCAACAGGGAUUGCCCUAGUAACGGCGAGUGAAGCGGCAACAGCUCAAAUUUGAAAUCUGGCCCUCGUGGUCCGAAUUGUAAUUUGUAGAGGAUGCUUUUGGUGAGGUGCCUUCCGAGUUCCCUGGAACGGGACGCCAUAGAGGGUGAGAGCCCCGUCUGGUUGGACACCGAGCCUCUGUAAAGCUCCUUCGACGAGUCGAGUAGUUUGGGAAUGCUGCUCUAAAUGGGAGGUAUAUGUCUUCUAAAGCUAAAUAUUGGCCAGAGACCGAUAGCGCACAAGUAGAGUGAUCGAAAGAUGAAAAGCACUUUGAAAAGAGGGUUAAAUAGUACGUGAAAUUGUUGAAAGGGAAGCGCUUGUGACCAGACUUGGGCUUGGUUAAUCAUCCAGGGUUCUCCCUGGUGCACUUGGCCAGCCCAGGCCAGCAUCAGUUCGUCGCGGGGGAUAAAGGCGUUGGGAAUGUGGCUCCCUCGGGAGUGUUAUAGCCCUUCGUGUAAUACCCUGCCUCGGACUGAGGUUCGCGCAUCUGCAAGGAUGCUGGCGUAAUGGUCAUCAGCGACCCGUCUUGAAACACGGACCAAGGAGUCGUCUUCGUAUGCGAGUGUUCGGGUGUCAAACCCCUACGCGGAAUGAAAGUGAACGCAGGUGAGAGCUUCGGCGCAUCAUCGACCGAUCCUGAUGUUCUCGGACGGAUUUGAGUAAGAGCAUACGGGGCCGGACCCGAAAGAAGGUGAACUAUGCCUGUAUAGGGUGAAGCCAGAGGAAACUCUGGUGGAGGCUCGCAGCGGUUCUGACGUGCAAAUCGAUCGUCAAAUAUGGGCAUGGGGGCGAAAGACUAAUCGAACCU